ensembl:lncRNA
UAAGGAUCACCACCAAGGCAAUGAGUCUCACCAGACACUGCAACACUGGUGGUCUCCAUGGACUCCAAACAUGGAGGACUUCUCAUAGACAAACACACCUGGACAAAGAGGGAAGCUUUUGGUGUUCUGUUUUUUGUUUGCCAUCUAUUUUGUGGUCAUCUGAAAUGAAAGUGGAGUUGUUGUUGUUGUAAGAUGUUUUGUUCGGCGUAAGAAAAGAGGAGCAGUCAACUCCAGGAACAGCAUCUCCAGGGUGAAACAUCGUGGAGGGAAUGUUGUCCUUUAAGGUUUUUUUUUUUUUUUUUUUUUUAAACUAGUGGGCCAGAAAAAGUAAAUGUCACCAUGAGAAAAGACAGAGAUAAGGACUGCAUUAAGAUUCUGGAGGAAAACAUCAGAAAAACUUUUUCUCUUUUCCUUGGGCAUGGUUAACAUGGUUAAAUGAGAACGUUUUGGAGCGACCCAGCCAGAAACCUGACCCGAAUUCCAUCGAGAAUCUGUGGAAGGAACUGAACACCUGAGCGAUGGCAAGGAAAAAUUCAACCUCAAAGACCUGGAAAGAGUCACAAAAGUAGAGCUGUCCAAAAUGCCAGUGGAGUUAUUCAGAAAGCUUGUUUACGAUUCUGAAAACAAUUUGAUUACUCUGUGGAAAAUAACAGAUUUUCCAUUGACUACUGAGAAUAAUAACUGGCUGUGGCAUUUUUAGUAAAAAUGAAAAAGAAGAAAAGGAAAAAAAAAUAGCACAAAAAAAAGUCUCAUCAACCUCUAUGUCUUAGCAACUUCCCUCAAUUGUUUAUGUUGUCAAAAGAAACCAAUUGAUUAAAAAAAAAAAUAUCAUUCCAAAAUUAGAAUGGAAAUGAAUAAUUAUGGGUUUACUUACAGGUGAGGAGAAAAUUUGUCAAUAAUACAAUGAUUUUUAUUUGUUCAUAAUGCUGUUUCCAUUAUGACAGAUUUCCUGUUAAAGAAAUUAAUCAAGAUAGAUAAUAUAAUUAUUAAACUAAAAGCCACUGCAGCUAAUCUCCACAAAGACUUUGAUUACUGUCGUGUGCUCAGCAAACAGUCAGACGCUCAUCAUACAGGAUGUGAAGACAAGAUCACUCACAACAGGAUGCUGUUUACAGCCUGAUUAAAAUGUGAGGUUGCAGAUAUGGAGCUAUUGUGAAAAAUGUUCCCUGCUUUUGUGAAAUCAAUUAUUAUCCCUCUAAAAAAACACACCAUAGUAACCAAAUGCUUAAAAAAAAAAAAAAAAUAAGAAAAAGAAAAUGCAAACACGCAAACC